AGUGAACGCUGGCGGUAGGCCUAACACAUGCAAGUCGAACGCCAGCACGGUCAGAGCUUGCUCUUCCAGGGGGCGCGUGGCGGAAGGGUGAGGAAUACAUCGGCAUCUACUUUGUCGUACAGACGAACGUAACUGAACUUACCCUAAUACCGCAUGCGACCUCAGGUCGAGCCCGGGAGAUCUACAGACCUUGGGAGAUUCAAUGAGCCGAUGGCGGAUUAGCGAGGUGAAGGGGUAAAGACCCACCAAGGCGGCGAUCGGGAGCUGGCCGGAGAGGAUGAUCAGCCCCACUGGAACGGAGACACGGCCCAGACGCCUACGGGAGGCAGCAGUGGGGAAUAUUGGACAAUGGGCGCAAGCCUGAUCCAGCCAUACCGCAUGCGUGAAGAAGGCCUUCGGGUUGUAAAGCCCUUUUGUUGGGAAAGAAAAGUAGCAGGUGAAUACCCCGCUGUUCUGACGGUACCCAAAGAAGAAGCACCGGCUAACUUCGUG
rnacentral:rRNA from 1 species